CUACGGGGCGCUGCAGUGGGGAAUAUUGCACAAUGGGGGAAACCCUGAUGCAGCGAUGCCGCGUGGAGGAAGAAGGUUUUCGGAUUGUAAACUCCUGUCGCAUGGGACGAUAAUGACGGUACCAUGUGAGGAAGCACCGGCUAACUACGUGCCAGCAGCCGCGGUAAUACGUAGGGUGCAAGCGUUGUCCGGAAUUACUGGGUGUAAAGGGAGUGCAGGCGGGACUGCAAGUCAGAUGUGAAAACUAUGGGCUCAACCCAUAGACUGCAUUUGAAACUGUAGUUCUUGAGUAAAGUAGAGGUUGGCGGAAUUCCUAGUGUAGCGGUGAAAUGCGUAGAUAUUAGGAGGAACAUCAGUGGCGAAGGCGGCCAACUGGGCUUUUACUGACGCUGAGGCUCGAAAGCGUGGGUAGCAAACAGGAUUAGAUACCCUUGUAGUC
rnacentral:rRNA from 1 species